rnacentral:rRNA from 1 species
UACGUAGGGUGCAAGCGUUAUCCGGAAUUAUUGGGCGUAAAGAGCUCGUAGGCGGUUUGUCACGUCUGCUGUGAAAACUGGAGGCUCAACCUCCAGCCUGCAGUGGGUACGGGCAGACUAGAGUGCGGUAGGGGAGAUUGGAAUUCCUGGUGUAGCGGUGGAAUGCGCAGAUAUCAGGAGGAACACCGAUGGCGAAGGCAGAUCGCUGGGCCGUAACUGACGCUGAGGAGCGAAAGCAUGGGGAGCGAACAGG